UAGUACAAAACCCUUUGGUCUCCACUUUGUCUCUCUUAAGUCUUCCCAUAAAACAGAGCAGAGAAGGUAAAACCCAAAGUUUGAAAACCAUCAAAAAUGGUUCAAAGGCUCACUUACCGUACUCGCCAUAGCUACGCUACCAAAUCCAACCAUCACCGUGUCGUUAAGACCCCUGGUGGGAAAUUGGUCUAUCAGACAACUAAGAAAAGAGCAAGUGGGCCUAAGUGUCCUGUCACUGGCAAGAGAAUUCAGGGUAUUCCUCACUUGAGACCUGCUGAAUACAAAAGGUCUAGAUUGCCAAGGAACCGCCGGACUGUGAAUCGUGCUUAUGGUGGUGUUUUGUCCUCCAGUGCUGUUAGAGAGAGGAUAAUUCGAGCCUUCUUGGUGGAAGAGCAGAAAAUUGUGAAGAAGGUUCUGAAGAUCCAGAAGUCCAAGGAAAAGCAAGCUUCAAAGAGCUAAGAAAUUAGAUGUCGAAUCAUCAUUUCAAUUCUGAUAUGUGAUCAGCAAGGCUUUGGAAAGUGCCACCAAUGACUUCAGAAGAUUAGAGGUGGCAAAGACUGUAGGGAGCAUGGGAGGGAGUGAGUUUGGAUGAUGGUGGCAAGGAUGAAUCGGGAAGGGGAAGCAAAGUCAUGGUGGAUCUAGUGAAGAAGUGAUGGGUAAUUGUAAUAAUCUUGCUGGAAGAAGAUGAAAGAGAAAAUGGAUGACCAAACUCUUUGUAUAAUUUUAAUAUGAAUUAUAAGACCAAAUUAAGUUUA